rnacentral:tRNA from 1 species
GAGGCUGUAGCUCAGUCGGUAGAGCAACGGACUUUUAAUCCGUAGGUCUUGGGUUCGAGCCCCAACAGCCUCA